AAUUUUAUGCCCUGUACAACAGGGUAAUAAUUCUACAAGAAGAGUUACAUUCACCAGACACAAGUCCCAGCAGACACUUCUACUUAAAUUAUUCUGAGGUUGCAAUGUGUGUAGUGUGCAGGCAGAAAGAAAAAUCUCAUUCCAGUAUGGGGAAUUUAAAAGACUGUUGCCUCCUCAGCAGUGGUAUCUGUGCUGCAACACGGUCCUCCCUGGCACACUGGACAGAUGUGUAUUAGACAGAAAUUGUUGGUAAAUUACUUAAGAAGACUAAGCUCAUGCAUCACAUAAGGCAUAUAAUGUAUAGCUUGAGUCUCUGGAACUAAGCAGAGUUUAGCAGUGCUGAGAUUUACCUUUUGUUUACCAAGAAAAACCUAUUCUUGAAGGGAAAGAAAUGAGUGCUGGAGCAUCCAAUAAUGGAUGUUUCUGUAGUUACUGUCAAUGAUUAGAAUUAUAUCCCAGGAAUUAUGAUUUGCGGUCAUUUGCUCAGAGCUAAACACAAGUAUAAGAUGUGGCUUGUGUCCCAGUGAGUUUGUAAUCUAAUUCAGAAACACAGGAUGUGGGGAGAUGGCCAAUCUGGAAUGUAUUGAAGGUGAAACAUUUUCUAUAGUUGACUGGAAUCCUUUUCUGUAUGUCAUUAGCAGUUUUCUUUAAAUUCUUCUUCACAAAUAACAAUGCUAUAAAAAAUUAAAUCCCUGCUUACUCCAAGUUCAGACUGAUAUGGGGAGUAAAAGAUAGUUAUUCUUCAUUUAUAAAAAGCUUUUCUCAGCAUUCAGGAAAAAAACAUUCCUCCUGCAGUGAGAUUUAUCUUCCACUGUGCCAUCUCUAGUGGCUGAGUGUUACCUACUGUGGUUCAUAAAGUAUUUCUGAUGGGCUCCUAUGGAUAGAGGCACCAUCAGACCCUUCACAGAACCGUGUCCUGAAUUUCAGUCACAUACAAUAUAUUGUUUUGCAGUCCACCUUCUAAUCAUAUACCUAACAAGACACACUACUACACAGAUCUUCUCUUUUACAGAAAGCUCAAUUCAUCACUGUGAGAACAGCAGUUCACUCCUUGCUUUUGGGGAAUGUGUGUAGUAAUCGGAAAGGACAAAAAGCAGCAUGUACCAAAAGAAACACUGUAAAUAUAUUUUGCAUGGUAUAAAUGAAUAUAGAGACAGUACAGCCAGCUGAAAUAAAAGCUUUUGGAGCAAAUGGAAAUGUGACCCCUCACCCCACUGGCAUAAAGCAAAAGAUAAUGGCUUGCAUAUCUAUGCAGAGCACCUUUCACUGUGUGGCUCUCAGAGCACUUUUAAUACCAUCUCUUUAAUACCACCAGUGAGUUUUUUCUUUCUAUCAGCCUCGGACACAGAAAGUGGUCUUCUCAUUCAAGAACAUGAUCCCUCUCCAGGGAAGGCAGUCAGCUUCCUUUUUGUGAGCAUUAACUCUUUGAAUGAGGUCGAAGGAGAAGCAGCCACAGGCUGAUGGCUCUGCCCAGCCUGUCAGGGCCUGGAAAGCUGCAGCCAGAGAGCACGUGGGCACAAACACACUGUACCCACAGCACACAUUUACCUGGCUCCUGGAUUUGCAAGGAGCUAACUCAAAGCAACCUUCAGUCUUUUGUCUCCAGCCAGUGGAGCUUAUGGCACGUCAGGCUGACAAGUUUAAACUGAGCAGUACCACUAAGUAAAUAUGAUUUUAUUCAGCCAGGACUCUUUAACAUGCUCUGUUUGUUGAACAUGGCAACAACUGUAAUAUUAUUAGAUAAAGCAAGACAGAUCUGGAUCUUCUUGUAAGCAAGAGUCUAUUGACUGUGUAAACUGAAGGAAAUAAAAAUUAAAAAAGAAGAAGAAAAAGAAAGGUUUAAACCAUACUGGUUCAAUCUAUUCAGCUAUUACAAUGGCUUAGACAAGCUGCAAAGCAUCAGAUGUGAAACUUCAGCAGCUUCAGUUUUAUUGCAACUGUCCAUCAUGUAGCAAAGCAUAAAGGAUAAAAUAGUGCUGGGCAAACUGUUUAUCCUCUGUAAAUGCCUUAACCAUAACCUAUUAAACCAGGUUUCUCCCCAUCUCACUCCUAUAUCAUGCUAUUUAAACCCUGUAAAUUGUUUCUCCAGUUUAAAUUAUAAUAAACAAAGGCAGGGAAGAAAGAAUGAACUGUUCUGUCAAGUUUUACCUAGUUUUACCAUAUUUUUAUAUAGAAUUGUGCUAGGCUAGGAACAGAAUAGAUAUGCUUCUUAGAGAAAGAAGAUCUCUAAGAGAAGUCUGAGAUCUGGACUGAGAAAUGGUGCUUUAUCAGCAUUAAAAAUACAACUGGUAAUACACAGAUUUUUCAUAAUCUAGGAAACCAUAAUGUGAUACAAGAUGACCACUUGUAUUUAAGUAACAUUUUAAAAGAAGUGUAGCAUAAUGAUUUUCAGAAAGUGACUGAUAGGUCAUCUUAUGUUCACCUCCCUAUCACACAACAGUCAUACUUGUUUCAUAUGUAUGCACAAUAUUUCUUUUCCUUAGUACUUUACAGUUCAAACUUUAGAUUCUUUUUUAUAACUAUGCAACAAAAUUACAUCGGUAACUUUCAAGAGCCAUUAAGAGAAUUUGCAUCAUCAGUACAAGAGAACUUUUGCAAAAUUAACAUUCUGAUUUAUGCUGUUGUGCUGUUCCCUAACUAGAACUUCCAAAAGCUGGCACUACUAGUGCUCCAUGGAGCACAACUUCAGGUUUUGCAUUAAUUAAACUGUACACAAUACAGAAAAACCAGUCACCUGCAGCAGUCCAAUGUCUGCAUCUGCCUGAUAUCCUAUGCAGGCAAAACAGCUCAGAUGGUGCUUUUGUGUGUCCAGGUUAUUUAUGGGCUACUCCCUAAUACAAUAGCUGUACAUCCUGCACAGAUGAGAUAGGCAGGGUGAAAAAGCUGCUCUCAGAGGAUGCACAGAAACAAGUCCCAGCUGCAUGGAUAAUGAGGUAAUGGCAUACCAGUAAGAGACAUUUAAUUAUAUCCAUUCUGGCAAGCCAUUUAUUUCUUUGCUGUGCUAAUGCUGAGCCAAUGAAGAAUAACAAUAUUAUCAUUUCUGAAUCCUAUCAUAAUUUGUAACAAUUGCUGGCAAUUACAAAACUACUCUUAAAAAGUUCGGUGCCAAACUGCAAGAGAGAUACUUUGCAGAGCCAUAUUUUCACAUGUUAAGUAGAGGGAGUUUAUCAGAGGAAGGAUUUUACAGGCUCAGAUGCUUGUCUAUAUAGCAGCCUAAUAAAAGAUGUUAAUCUCCACUUUUUGUUCAUUGAUUUUUAUAUUCAAACAUAGACUUUUCAUAAAGGAAAUGCAUUACAAGGCUUUGUUUUUUUAAUCUGAAAAUUAAUGCAGAAUUUAGUGAACUUUAUAUUGGGUGUCAUCUAAGUGUCACUCAUUUAACUGGAAUUAAUGAUGAUCCUCUAGGGUGGUGACUAAGACAAACAGCCAGUAGAUGGAGGGAGCACACUAGGACAGAAAGCAACCAAAGUCUGCAGAAUUUACUGAACUGAGACUCCAAUUAUGUAAGAGAUGAUUAGCUGGGACAAGAUGAAUAGGUUGUGUCACGGACUCCAUAACUGUCUAUUCCAUGGGAGGAUGUGGAUGCUUCUAAUCCACCCUGGCCUGAUUUUUUUCCACAGCCCUGACCCAACCCCCACCAAUGCUGAGAAUGGGCUUCUAGAGACUUGAUAAAUGCACACAGUGAGAAUUACAGGUCCUGGAAUAUAUUGUCUUUGUACCACAGCACCAGCUGAACGCACAAGAUUUACAAAGGCUAGCAAUUAGAAAUCAGUGCCUCAUGCAGUGUUAUGUGGCACCCUCUGUGAGAUCACGUAAAACCAGAUCCCAUUCCUUUCAUCCUUCUUAUGCCAAGACUUGGGCUUUGCUAACACAGAGUGAGCUACCAGCAAUAAUCAUACCCACUUAAUAUACACAGAGGUGAAAGGGGAUUAAGCACAGGCAGAGGGGACAGAAAUACACCACACACCUGAUUUUUCUCCACUCAAGCAUCAAGAGCAUUUAUACCAAACAAGACAAAUACUCUAAACCUCCAUUUCUAAAGGAUGUUAACCUGGGGUAGGUAUCACUUUGGAGUGCCUCCAGCUGGACCAAGGCUUGCGGUGGUGUUCUUUAUACCAAUCUUUGCUGACCACAAGGUAAUGUGGGAUCUUAGGUACAGUAAUAACUUAGAGAUGACCAGCAGAGCUGAAAACCCCCUCCUGAGCCAUCCACAGCUGAAGUGCAGUAAGACCCAUAAACCAUGUCCUGUAGAGUUACCUGCUACUCUUCCAAAGGUGGCAAACAGAAAUCUGGCAACUUCAACUGAGGAGUUUCCCAGAGCAGGGGAGCAGAGCCCACAGUACUUUGGAAUGUGCUUUUCUGUGUGAGCAGCCUGACUAUUUUUUUUCCUAGACUGGAGGAAGAGGAAAUGGUGAUGGUCCUGCACUACAGACAAUCUCAAAGGCUAAUAUCAGCCCCCAGAAAGGCCAAGGACUGCCUGAGCUAGCUGUGUGGGGAGUUCGCUUUAGAAAGAUAUUGGGGAAGGGCUUGGGAAGGAAGAACUACAAGAGGAGGACCCUGAGCUGCACAGGUGAUAUGAAAGACUGUAUCUGCUGGAAAUCUACAGGAUCACUUGUCAGAAGAUUACAUUUCUGAUGGCUUACAAUCUACAGCAUAAAAUUGUAAGUUUGGGGGUACCUUUAUGAUCCCUUGGCAUGUUGCAAGAGGUAGGCCAACUAAACUGGUACCAUUAAUGGACAUAAUCUGGUCUCCAAUGCUUAGUUUUCCUGAACGGGCUGCAGGGCCUCCAUUCAUCAUGUUAGCCAGGAUAACGGUGGGUAGAAUGGAUCCCCAUCCAGAUUCCACAAUCACUACCCCAAGAAUUUCUCCCUUCUGUUUUUCUAUCUGGAGCUGCAAUUAAAAAGAAAAAAAAAUUUUUUUUGCUUUGAUUUGUCUAAAUUUGAGCAUGACUAUCUCAGUUGUUCCUGAAUAACAUCUACAAAUCACAAAAUGGAUGCUAUUCUUUGUAGCAGGACUUCAAAAACACUGUUAAAACUGUGUAACACAAACCUAUUUCUUUUCAGGGUUAUACUAAUUUGUUGCAGGUCCUAUAGGUCCUUAUGGUAAGUAAAACACAUAUUGGUUAACUCUAUAGGAAAUGGUGGAACUGGAUACCAAGUGAAUGAAUGCUGAAGAAGUUUCUGUCCUUGGAACCUGGCAGGCUUGUGUUCAGCUCCACUCCUGCCAUUUCUGCUCAGGUUGUCUCUCCAUCUCAGGGUUUGUCUGUCCUUCUUCUCAGGCAAGGAUCUCUUGAUGAUUAUUAUUAACAUUAUUAUUAUUAUUAACGUUACUGAAUAUACUUGUGCCUAGCACGUUAAUGUUAGAUCCCUGAUGGAAUGGAAAGGAGGACUUCACCUGAAGUAUGGUGAUGUCAACUGUUCCAUAACCACAGCAUAUCUAACAUUUAUAGAAGUGGAGUAAGAGUUUCCAUAGAGAACACACUCUUUAACAAAAUACUGGGAAUUAUUUUCUUUCAAAUGUGGAAGGAGAGGGACACCCCUACUUACAGGAAUCAUGAUGACCAGCUGUCUUUUGUUGAGACUUGAUUAAGGCUUUGAACCAACCAGCAUCCCACAACACUGUUGUAUCUCUUUCCAUACCAAUACUUUGGUAAAACUUAAAAUAACCUUACACUGUGUACUGUGAAUAGUACAGACCUUAUCUACAUCACAUGUAAAUGCACUUUAUUACUGUUCUGAUCAAUGGAAAAAGAAAGGCCCUGAAAAUGAAAACACGAAAUUCUAAUAACUUAUAAAGCUGAUUUUAGUAGCAUAGUACUGAUGAAGCCACAUAUCUUGAAAUUUUACCGUCGUCCUUAUAAUGCCAAAUCAUAUUUCUGAGAACGACAUUCCUCUGGAAAAAAAUGGAUCAAUCUGAAAUGAAAUUCCAAAACUAGUUUACCUCUUUGCAGUUUUCUGAAUUGGAGAAGUGUAUGAGAUCAUCAUUGUACAUCUCCUGGGUAUUGAUGAUGUCACUGUAUUCUUUCUGACUGAGAUCCUCUGGGUUAAUUCCAUUGGCUCUUAAAAACUCUUGGUAAGCCACACUGAAAGCCUGCCCAAUGGACUGAGCAAUCAGCUGUGCCUGCAAUGGAGAACACGGCACAGCUCAGAGAAAGGGUGGAGAAACAGUUUACCACAAAAAUACGAGAAACCAGGAGAGAGACUGGAAUUUAAAACACUCAAAGGAUUCUGCAAAGUUUCUGCAUUAGCGUGGAUAUAAAGUCACUUUAAGGUCUGUUGUAUGUAAAGCAUCCAUUACAUCCAAAAUCAAAUUGCAAACUCCAUUUAAAACCCCUGCUGAUCUCCUUCAUGAGUAUGUUUCAGUAGCAAGCAGCCAUAUGCUGUCCAUGUACUCCUUCCAAUAAACACUGGCUUUGUACCAACAUGGAACAGAGCUCACGGAAAGGACUGUCACAAACCCUGCUUCUGAACACAGUCUGUUUGCAGGAGUGACGAGAGAAGGGAUGCUCUGCUCUCACAUGCCUUCACAGACCUGUGCACUGAUGAUUUUGGUUGUCGUGUCGCCUGCUGGUUUUGCACCUUGGUUUUAUAGGACUGAAAACACUGCUUGAAUAGAACCAUCUGCUCUCCUAUCACUGCCACUGUCUCCUAUUCCCAGCAAACCAGUUCCACUUCUACUUCCCCACUGCACAUCUAGAACAGCCAUUCCCAUUAACACCUCAACUGGCAAUGUCAGGGAUGAUUUCAAGAGUGCAGCCAGAGCCAUGAUUAUUGCUUGCUAAUGUUGAGAACACCUUUCCAAAAUACCCCAUCUUUCUUAAAUUUUGGAGCACUUAUCUGCAUAUUCCACUAGAUGGCAAGGGAACACAGAGCAACAGAGGUAGAGAUCAGGAAAAAGAAUCUGUAGUCCAGUUUUUCCACACCUGAAUUAUUUUUUACUGCAGCUCACAAGAGAAUGCCACAUUGAGUUUUGUAUAUUUGUGGGUUUUGCGUACUGAAUUCUGUCACCCAGGAUAUGAGUAACUCCUAGUGACAGGAGAAGAAGUUAAUUGCAUCUCACAGUGGAACUCCAUAAAAACAUUACUAAUCAAACCCUUAUUCUGGAAAUGCAACACACCUUCUUAGACAGAAGGUACAUGCUAAAUGCAUAGGGUUUUCUGGACAACAUUAUAAAUCUGUAUCUUCUUACAAUCUACUGAUUGGGUGUUUUCUUUGAUGCUAAAAGGUGGUUUUAUUAUUUCAUUUGUGCUGCAAUGCACAAAAGCACCAGUCUGUCUGACUGGAAAAUUAUUUUAGAAAAUCAAGGACAUAAAUAGCCUAGCCAGUCACAAAUGGUUUUUUCAUCUUUUAAAAUAUGUUUUAAAUUUUUCUCACUAUACCAAGAGGUUGGUGGUAAUAUGGUGGCACAGAAAUAAUCCAGAACAUUUUCAUAUCAUUCCAUUAGUAAAGUUUAUCACCAGUCCUUAUUGACUUCUUUCAAUCUCCAGUGCCAUUGCUUUCUCUGUACUUAGUCCUUUGCAUUUGCCUCCAUUCUACAUUCUCAAAACCAACAUCUCCAGAUGUCAUACUUUAUUCUGUUACUGCUACUAACAGCUAGUUCUCACAUCUUAAUUUCAUCUGUAUCUCCAAGGUCUUGUGGCUGUUUAUGAAAGUCUUCAGCAUUAUGCACAACUUAGAGAUAAGGUAAUUAAGUUGCUUGAAUAGGCCACCCCAGCAGAGCAGUGACAGAGCUGAGAUAACCAGGUCUCAGAACAACUCCAGUCUAGCACUCUAACCUUUAGACAAUUCCACUUCUCCUUCACAGGCUUAAUUACUUUAAAAUAAUGAAAAUGAUUGCUUAGCUCAAAAAUAUGCAACCUGUGAGUUAUGACUAUCUGAACCACAGAACUCAAUUAUUUUUAAAUGGUAUGACAGAAAUGAUAUUUAAAUCUGUUCCCAUAUAAUAACGAUGAGAAAUGUUUAGUAUUGCCUCUUAGUGUCAAGUUAGAUAACAAAUUUUGCUCUUUCCAUUUUACUAAGCUUAGUAUAUUUUUCCAAAAACAUUUCAGGUUGAAGUCCCCUGGUCUCCCACUUCAGACACAAGUAUCAACUUUGCUACAAAACCAAACCUGCAUAUAUAACAGCAGUAAAGCAGGGUCAUCUUUGCCACAAGAGGAAUGGGAUGGCACGUCAGGGCUUUUCACAGCGGUGAAACAGGAUGUACAGCAGAGAUGGACAGAACUCUUUUGCAACCACUACCUCUGCAAUCCUAUUUUGAGAAUGGCUCCAGGUUCUUUCACCUUUUAGUAUUUCUGAUGCAAAUGAAAAUUAGAACGUAAAUUCUGAAGUGGUCACUUCUUUCUUUGAACAGACUUUUAACAAAAAAGUGGGUUAGGGCUAAGACAGCAUUGGACCUCAGAGUAUCUUAUGGCAUAAAGUGACUGAAAUUAUGUUUGCUAUUGUAUAGAAGUACUAAGGGUAGUGAGAGUAAUGCCCAUGAAGAAAUAUUUCUAUAAAUACUGAGAACAAAACUAUCUCAGCUCUACCUUCCAGUACCUGAAGGGAGCUUACAGGAAAGAUGGAGAGAGACUUUUAACAAGGCAUGUAGUGACAAGGCAAACAGAGUAGGUUUAGAUUAUAUAUUAGGAAGAAAUUCUUUACUGUGAGGGUGGUGAGGCCCUGGCACAGGUUGCCCAGAGAAGCUGUGGUUGCCCCAUCCCUGGAAGUGUUCAAGGUCAGGUUGGAUAGAAUUCUGAGCAACCUGAUGUAGUGGAAAGAGUCCCCGCCUGUGGCAGGGAGAUUGGAACUAGACGAUCUUUAAGGUCCCUUCCGACCCAAGCCAUUCUAUGAUUCUAUGUAAAAAUUCUAAUUCAUAAUCUUUGCUAGGGGUGGAAAAAGAGAACUGAAAAAUAAACAGCUGAAUGUGUUCUUAAACAUCAAAGGAUCAAGUGUCAUGUUUAAGAGUAUGAUAUCAACUAGAGGUAAAUAAGCCAUAGGGAAUAAGGACAGGGUAAAGGACAGCCUUGUUCCAGGCCUGCCAAGUUAAUGUUCUCAGAAAUUUGGCUUCAGUUUGAAAGAGGUCCAAAAUGGUUCCACCUCAUGCCAAGAUUCUGGAGGCAUAUAUGUGUCUUUAUGUGCCAACCUGCUGGACUAAGGGCAGGGUCAUCUAAUCCAGGAUGAAUGAACAAUAUGACAUCCCAUAAAUUAAUUCUGACUUCAGAGAUUCUCUACAUGACAUAUGUUAUUUAAAUAAAUUUAAUUCCAUUUACUUACAUCCUCUGAUUCAAAGACAUGGCAAAUCAUCUUGUACUGCUUCUUUCCUUCCUGGGCCCCGGGAGUUGUUUCAAUGCAGUCCUGGGAAGCCGACCUUGGCAUGCGGCGCCGCGCCAUGAGCACCACGAUGUUGCCAAUGUCGGCGAUGUAGGAGAUGGUGCGCAGCGCGUGGUCCAUCAUCGUCUCCUGCCAGGAGAAAGAAAGGAGGUUUUCUCCUGUGCUACAAAUACUGCAUCUUCCCUCUCCUUGAUGGCCUGUUGCCUGAGAAUGACAAAAGCUCCAGAAGCAUUUUCUGUGGGCCCAGACCUGAUAUUCCCUACGCAGUCGGAUGGGUCCGAACUCCCCAUGGAAGGCACAGUGGCUGUUCACGGCUUCAAUGGAAGUGUUGCCCCAGGAAAUACAGUGUGGUUGUUACUGUAAAGCAAUAAUGAAGAACUAUACUACUAAAUAUUUUCAUGCUGUUGAAAAAUUCUGUUUCCCUUUUUUAUUGGUUUUGCUGAAUGAAACAGAUGCAUGUCACAAUGACAGAACAAGUUUUACAAAAAUUAUAGAUAUUAUUGCUAUUAUAGGAUAUGAUUUAAACACCCAGGACAUUAUAACAUCUCUUAUCUCUAAGGUAACAUUUUCUCAUAUAAAGCAAAGCAAUACUUCCUUUGUAAAGAGCUAUGAAGGCAGUAUUUCACCUUCUCUGUAGGCAGAACUCCUAACACUUUUUUUGGCUACCUACAUAUCUCAGACCAGCUUGGAGGAACUGCUAUAGUGUCUUGGCUUACAGUCAAAAUCCUAUUCCAGUCACUCUAAUUAUGCUGCCCAUUUGGUUGUGCUGGAAGAACUCAACUCAGAAGCCAUUGCCUGUGAGAAUGAUUUUAAGCGAAAACCUCUCUAAGCUUUAUCCUAAUGAACAUUGCUCAUGUAAGUACACCUAAAGAGUACUAAAUUUAAAACGCUCCUGUCUCAAAUCCCUGAGCUGUGCAUCUUUUUAAUUACUUUAGCCUUUUAAACUCUUAAUUUCUGCCAUUAGCAGGGAAAUCCCAACCUCCUACUUUCAAAUGUUUUUCUCCUGGGAAUAUACCAUUAUUCAGUGGCUUCGACUGAGUUGCCUUGGACAAUGAAAACUUGAGUGAGUAUCUGUAGUCAGAGAAAAACGUCACUAUUUUGUUCCAGCUAUUACUAUUUCAUCUUUUGUUUUUAUCUCCAGUUCAUGCUUCUAUCAAUGGUUUCUUAUAUAAAAGAGCAAUGGGGUCCCAGAAGGAGGAACCUUCAAGGACAUUUUAGAACAGUUUCUGUGCUCUACUAAGUAUAAACUUGUAGUAAGUUUUAUUAUUUCUGAACUCAGAAUUAAGUAUGAAUAAAUUAAUGUGGCUCAACAGCUAGCAUCUCAUUUUCAUUAAAAGGUUUCGAUAUGUAAAAUAAUGUUAUUUUAAUAAAACAAUGUAUGUGACACUGCUACAGCGAUCAUUUCAAAGGAUGUAUUUGAGACUCCAAAGAGAGAAUUAUAUACUUGUCUGCAUCAAUGUUUUAGACAUUUGUACCUUCAUAGAGGUUUUAUUUGAGAUACUGUAUAAACAACCUGAUUUCUCCUUUAGUUUUUUUAAAUAAAAAUAAAUAAAAAGGUACAACUUCUCUGUUUCCCGAAAGGUGUGCUGUUAUACAAGAUGUUUCAUAAUAUAAGAAACUUUUAGGCUUAAAAUGCUUAGAAAUGCUCAUGCAAUCAAGAUAUCUGAUUGACUGUGUUUCCAUUCAGUGCCUUGAACAAAAGCACUGUUACUGAAGUUUGUGUAUGAUUAUGGAAGAAGAAAAAUUUCUAGAGAAAAAGGUAUUCAACAGAAGAAGGGCAGCAGACAGGCACUGCAACAAACCAACAACAAAGAAAAUGAGUUCAUUUUACUCCAUUCACCAUUCUACUGCUUAACAAAGAAGAAACCAAAAUGACAGCUUUAUGAGGAUCCAUAAUGAAAGACGUAACACUCCAUGGAAAACAACAAAAAUGUAAGUAAACAUUAGCAUUCAAGAAAAACAGUUUACACACCGCUUUUUUCUUGAUUUUAGCCGCCUUUUGCAUCCUCUGAGGAGUAGCAUAAAAAAAGAAUGCAGACAGGUGUACACACAAGGAAAGAGAAAAGACAGUGUGGGAAGUCAGGGAAACCUUUUGACUAUGAAUCCAUGCUGUUGAAAAUUAAAAAACUGGGGGCAGUGGUUAGAAGAAUGUGCAAGAGAGAAAGAUUUGCUUAUACCUUAUGCACUUCUCAAGAUAAUUGGAUUUAAUGGUAUUAUGCAUGUUGUCAAUUGAUUACAAAAAAACUGGUACCAAAGUGUUGUCUAUUAACAGCUACUCCUCACGCUUAUCCUGCUAAAUUUACAGCAGUGGAAAAUGGCAGGACGUGCACUAUCGUAAAGCCAGGGUUUUCUAUCCAUAUUGAUCACAUGUCUACAUGUAACUGUUGAACAAAACAUAACUCAGGCUCUCUUCCACGACUAUCUAAAGUAGUCAAGUACCUCUGACAGAUCAAGUUUGGUAAUAACAUACAAAAAAGUUCUUAAGGAUUUAAUUGCAAUCAACAAGUACUUACUGUAGCUUGAGACAUCACAAUAUGCUAAACAGAAACUCAAAGGUUUGGAAAGUUUAAAGAACUGGACAUUUCCUGCAUUCCAUUUGCUUCAAUCAUCAAUCAUGACAUGUCUCUUGCUAAGUAAGUGGUUUUUUGAAACUGGUUUCCUUCAAAAACAUGCAAUUUUUAGCAAUUAAAUAUUUUAUUGACUAAGCACAUACUUUUUCUCUUAGCAUUUAAACCUGCCUCUUUCUAACCAUGUGUUUAUUCAGAUGAGGUAUUUACAGCAGAGUCACAAAAAAUUUUAAAAUAAAAAUAUCCUACUUGGAGUAUCAAUCAAAGAAAUACUUUCUUUACACAGCUGUAUGAAGCAGUCUAUGCUACAUUAGUUACAAAGGAAUUGUUCACUGUAAAUAAUAUCAAAUCCAAUCACAACAGUAAGGAAUGUUCUUGUUCUAAAAAAUAAAUAAUUCAAUAUAUUGAGAGCAAUCUUCUCAAUUUGUAGUAAGUUAAAGGAAUUAAUGACAUGUGACAUGAGUAAAACCACAGCCAAAACAAAUAUCCUGUGCUUUGCCACUGAAAUAUUUUCUAAUUGCAAUCCGCAACUUGUCUUUAACGACUGAAUUUGUCACACAGCUUCCAAAGAAUUUUGAAUAGACUCUGGAAUAGUCUAUAUUUUGCUCCUUAGAGAUGCUGUAUGUAUUUUUAUAACAAGCACUGGAAAGUAAUGGUAUUUACAGUACUAGAUCUAUACUCAUGUAUAGAUACAUACAGAGACUAGAGAGACAGAUUUAUACGCCCUUCGGGCGAGGUGUGAGCUGCAGACCUGCCCUGCUGGGGCUCAGCUGGGCCAGCUCAGGGGGUCUCCCCAGCAGAGCAGUCCCUACCUUCACUCAGCUGGGCCAGCUCAGGGGGUCUCCCCAGCAGAGCAGUCCCUACCUUCACUCAGCUGGGCCAGCUCAGGGGGUCUCUCCCCAGCAGAGCAGUCCCUACCUUCACUCAGCUGGGCCAGCUCAGGGGGUCUCUCCCCAGCAGAGCAGUCCCUACCUUCACUCAGCUGGGCCAGCUCAGGGGGUCUCUCCCCAGCAGAGCAGUCCCUACCUUCACUCAGCUGGGCCAGCUCAGGGGGUCUCUCCCCAGCAGAGCAGUCCCUACCU